rnacentral:rRNA from 1 species
UCGGCGUGCUUAACACAUGCAAGUCGAACGAUGAAGCCUUUCGGGGUGGAUUAGUGGCGAACGGGUGAGUAACACGUGGGCAAUCUGCCCUUCACUCUGGGACAAGCCCUGGAAACGGGGUCUAAUACCGGAUAACACUCUGUCCUGCAUGGGACGGGGUUAAAAGCUCCGGCGGUGAAGGAUGAGCCCGCGGCCUAUCAGCUUGUUGGUGAGGUAAUGGCUCACCAAGGA